UUUUAUUUUUGUAAAUAUUUGAUUUUUCCUUUUUGUACAUCUUAUUAAGUUAUAAGUUUUUUUUUUGUUGCUUUGUUUUGUUUUUUUUUUCUUUUGAAAACAGAACUGUACAGCCACUUGUUCAACAGCAGAUUGGGUCUUGAACUUAUUGCAGAUCCCAGUUUCUGUUGCGGUAACUUUGUAUGAGGCAAUUGGCCUGUACAAGGGGAAAAGACAGAUUUCAUCAAGAGGAGAUACAGGCACUAACUUGAAAGCACACCAGCUGAUCUUGUACUGCUCCUGUGGCGUACUGGCUGGUAUAGUUGGUGGACUGCUUGGCUUAGGUGGAGGAUUUAUUUUAGGUCCAUCGUUUUUGGAGCUGGGAGUCCCUCCUCAGGUUUCAAGUGCUACAGCCACCUUUGCAAUGACCUUCUCCUCAUCAAUGUCUGUCGUAGAAUAUUAUCUUCUAAAACGUUUUCCAGUACCCUAUGGUAAGUUAGUGUUCCAUAUUACUGAAACAGUUUUUAUAAAGCAGUUUUCUGUUAU